rnacentral:tRNA from 1 species
CGCGGGGUGGAGCAGCCUGGUAGCUCGUCGGGCUCAGAACCCGAAGGUCGUCGGUUCAAAUCCGGCCCCCGCAA